CAGAUCGCCGCAAACCAACCGAAUAGCGCCAUCUGUGUUGGCACAGUGUGGAAAUAGUUCCGACCACUUUUCCCAUAGUUCCACGCGCGGUAUGUGUCAGAUCGGUUGGUUUGCGGCGAUCUGCGUGUCAAGGGUGAAAAGCAGCUAUUCUAACCAACCAAUUAACUAACUACGCAUGACUGGCACGCGUUGUUAGAGCUGUGCAAAAACACGUUUUCUCUGCUUCAAAUACUUAUUGUCUGCAACAUGAAGUUAAGUUUAUUAUUGGUAGUUUACACAUGCGUAAUUGCCUGUGCAAAUGCACGCGGUUUAAGGCAAGUUGAAAUAAUAAGCGCCACUGCUGGUGAGUAUUUUUGUUCAUUGUUUCAAC